rnacentral:rRNA from 1 species
GACGUAGGGCGCGAGCGUUGUCCGGAUUUAUUGGGCGUAAAGAGCUCGUAGGCGGCUUGUCGCGUCGACUGUGAAAACUCGGGGCUCAACUCCGAGCUUGCAGUCGAUACGGGCAGGCUAGAGUUCGGUAGGGGAGACUGGAAUUCCUGGUGUAGCGGGUGAAAUGCGCAGAUAUCAGGAGGAACACCGGUGGCGAAGGCGGGUCUCUGGGCCGAUACUGACGCUGAGGAGCGAAAGCGUGGGGAGCGAACAGG